UACGUAGGGAGCAAGCGUUGUCCGGAAUCAUUGGGCGUAAAGCGCGCGUAGGUGGCUUCGUAAGUCCGUUGUGAAAGUCAAAGGCUCAACCUUUGAAAGCCGAUGGAUACUGUGGAGCUAGAGUACGGAAGAGGCGAGUGGAAUUCCUGGUGUAGCGGUGGAAUGCGCAGAUAUCAGGAGGAACACCAAUGGCGAAGGCGACUAUCUGGGCUGCAACUGACGCUGAGGCGCGAAGGCUAGGGUAGCAAACAGG
rnacentral:rRNA from 1 species